rnacentral:misc_RNA from 1 species
UAUACCGCUUUUUACGAUUGUCAUCAAGAGAUAACAUCUAUUUCACGUUGCUCGACAACGUAGAGUGACGUAUUGAUACUUGCAAAUUAUCAAUCGUGUUAUUUUACGCGUAUCAACAUAUUUCCUUGACACGAGUGAAUUGUAGAUGGAUUUAUUCGAUUUCUUCGACUUCACCGGCCCGAUAACCUCUAAUUUUACUUGGUUAAUCGCUUUGCUAUAGUUUAGCCAAAUAUUCAAUUGAUAUUUGCUGACAGUAUUUUUAUCGUGUUACAUUCGUGCAACGGAUCAUACGAUUUAAGAGCAAAGGAUGUACGCAGAAGAUCACAGGACUUCAUCCUCGAUACAUUUGGCUGUAUCGAAUGUUUCGCUGUAUAAAUUUUCACCGAAAAGAGUGAGAAAGUAUUUCUUUAUUGAGAAUCAACAUUUAAAACUUCGCCGUUUGAUGAUGCCUGUCGAUUUGUAACCAAUUUCUAUAAAAUCCUUUAAGAAGAUACGAGGGGACCAUAAGGAUAAAAAGGAGUCUGUCCAUUUUUUAAAUCAUGUCGUACCUUUCCCAUGUGAUGACGCUAGCCAAUGGCGUCAUAGGAGUAAGCGUUCUCGCGAUGCCCUUUUGCUUUGAGCAAUGUGGUAUUAUAUUAGCCACUGUAGUACUUUUACUAAGCAGUGCAUUGUCUCGACUGGCCUGUCAUCUUCUAAUCAAAUCUGCCGUCAUGUCCAGACGACGUAACUUCGAGUUCCUUGCAUUUCAUGCAUUUGGCCGUACGGGUAAAAUUAUUGUAGAAUUAUUUAUUGUUGGAUUCCUGAUUGGAACGUGUGUUGCAUUCUUCGUUGUUGUCGGUGAUUUGGGACCCCAAAUUAUUGGGAAGAUAAUAGAUAGGCAACCAGAGGAUAUAAGAACAAGUUUCUUGAUCAUAACAGGAGUAUUUAUUGUUUUACCAUUGGGAUUACUCCGAAAUGUUGACAGCCUAUCCAGCAUUUGUACAGCAAGCAUAGGCUUCUACCUUUGUUUGGUUUUAAAGAUAGUAGCGGAAUCGACCCGUCACAUCUUCGCAGGAGAUUGGUAUGAUCGAGUGUAUUAUUGGAGACCUGCUGGUAUCCUCCGAUGUUUACCAAUAUUCUCCAUGGCACUUUUCUGUCAGACGCAACUCUUUGAAAUUUAUGAGACAGUUCCUAAUGCCUCUCUGGAAAAGAUGAAUGAGAUCGUUCGAGGGGCAUUGAACAUCUGUAACGGUGUAUACAUUUGUGUAGGAUUCUUCGGCUAUAUUGCAUUUUGCAAUCGAGCCUUUUCUGGUAAUAUCCUCACAAGUUUUGAACCGGGCACAGCAUCCGAAGUCAUUAAAUUAGGAUUUGUCUUCUCGGUCGUUUUUAGCUUUCCGCUAGUCAUAUUUCCAUGUAGAGCUAGCAUGAAUUCUCUUCUUUUUCGCAAGGUUCACGGUCACGACUCGUCUAGUAAUUACAUUCCAGAAACAAAGUUCAGGUGUCUAACGAUCGUCAUCGUGGUAGCCUCCUUAAUUGUUGGAGUAUUAAUUCCUAACAUUGAAUUUGUUUUGGGAUUAGUUGGAUCAACAAUUGGAGUAACCAUAUGCCUCAUAUUUCCUGCAGCAUUUUUUAUAUCCAUUAGCAGUAAACAUACUAAUGAAAGAUUAAUGGCACAAAUUAUAUUAUUUAUUGGUGUAUGGAUAAUGAUUCUCGGAACGUACACUAACUUGUAUGCGACGGAAGAAUCUUCAAACGCGAAGCUAAUUAUUACAACAAACAAAUCUCCUAGUCGUCUAAAUAAUGUACCUCUUGGCUUGAUCGACAAAGAAGUACCUCUCAUUCCUGCGAUCGUCAAUCUUGAGGAACCAGAUUUGCUGAAGAAUACCGUUGCUGCGAAAGAUGGUCGAAGAGAACCUCCAAUUCCAGUAGAGAGAGUCGCAGUUACCGAAAAACCUGCUUUGGGAACCGAAAAGUCAGUUAUAGCUGACAUAACUGUAGGUUCUUCUCCGGAACCCAAGGUGGUAGCCGAUGCAGCUGCAGUCGUGGCUGCCAAGAUCUCAGAAAAAAUUGAACUUCCUUCGGAGAAGCUGAAAAAAAAUUCUCCGAAGGAAGACAUGGUCAUUUUGAAGGCGGAGGAGAAGAUCAAGGUGAUAGAGGCUAAGGAACAAGCUAUCGCAUACGUAAAGGGUGAAAACUUGAUACAUUCCGAUGCUAUACAGAAAGAGGAAUCCGAGUUGGCGGCCGAUGGAGAAUUAAAUAAAAUUGAGGUGGAAGAGAGGCACGAAGAGCUUAGGAAAACGCUGGAAAAACACAAAAUCGAACAGUUAGAAAUGAUACAGGAACAGAAGGAGCUAUUAAAAGACCUGAAGGAACAGAAGCAAGAGUUCGAAAAGGAGAAGAAGGAAAGACUGGCCAAAGACGCCGUACAGGGUAAAAGAGAGGUAGUCAAGGUAGUGAAGCCAAAUCCGGAGAAUGUCGUAGAGAAGGCUAAAGUACCUUUGCUAGUCCCUAACGUGGAAAAGGAUAAGUUGGAGACAACCUCCGAUGUAAUCUUUAAGAACAAUUCACCUCCUAUGGAAAGUGAAAAUAUUAAAGUCACGCCGCGCAUGGAUGACCGCCCUAAAAAUAUGAGAAAGUCCGAAAAAGAGGAGCGAGAAUCAUUCUUAAAAGUUAACAUUAAUAACAACGAAAUCGCAAAAGGCGAGAACGAUAAGACUGACAAUAAUUCCGAUACGAAACUGAUCCCUGUGGCAGGGGGUAACGUUUCCGUGAUGAAAGCGCAAGGUCCAAUUUUAGAUGCUCUAUCGCGCAAGAAUACCAUUCCCGAGGCCAAACAAUUUGCUGCUGCAGCUGAAGAAAAUAACAAAGACAGGAUAAUCGUGAGAAACAAGGAACACUUUAAAUUGGGAGAGGAGCGGGAUGUUGCAAUCGGUGACGCAAAAGAAGAGAAGCAGAAAGAUCGAGUCGAGGGUGCCGAAGAUCCCAAACGGACAAAGUACUCUGUACCUAUUGCGCUCAUGAUGCAAAAUCAAACGAAAAGGAACGACAGUGCUGUGAAUGAUAAGAAUAAAAAUCUGGUCGGUAGAGACAUUCUCGAGAACCACGAGAGGGAGAAGAGGGAAUCGAUGCGUGCUGAUAGCGACGUCAAUGUAGAGAAACGUGAAGAAAAAUGUUUGCCGACUGGUCGAAAUGAUUUGAGCUUUGUCGGAGCUAAACAAUUCUUACCUGACGUGGAAAUCAAUUCAGGACUUCCAAGAGUUCUGGUACCAUUCUAUGACAAAAGUGGAGGACUUCCAAAGCGUUCGGACGAUUAAUUUUGUUCGAUUUUAUGGAAAAUCAAAUCGAAACUGUUACGACUGGCAAUUAAGUCUAAAUUUUGGAACUUGGAAUGUAGAGCACUAUCUGAAGAACUUGGACACCUGUACACA